rnacentral:rRNA from 1 species
UACAGAGGGGGCAAGCGUUGUUCGGAAUUACUGGGCGUAAAGGGCGCGUAGGCGGCCCGCUAAGUCGAACGUGAAAUCCCCGGGCUCAACCCGGGAACUGCGUCCGAUACUGGCAGGCUUGAAUCCGGGAGAGGGAUGUGGAAUUCCAGGUGUAGCGGUGAAAUGCGUAGAUAUCAGGAAGAACACCGACGGCGAAGGCAGCUCGCUGGGACGUUACUGACGCUGAGGCGCGAAAGCGUGGGGAGCGAACAGG